rnacentral:lncRNA from 13 species
CACAUUUUUCCUGGCUUUCUGCCUGGGGUCACGCUCUAGGGGAAAGUGGAGUGCAAGCAAAACAAAGUGCUUUCACUUAGUAGGAAAGGCAGAAAUCAGAAUUCUGUGCUGCUUAUGUAGCUUGAACUGAUGAGGCAGGAAAGAGAAAAAAGCAAAAGUGAGGACUCAGAAGUCUGCACGGCCCUGAUCCAUGAUUGAUCUGGCAUAUGCAAGGUGAAUUUUCAUAAAGGCUAGCAGAGCAGCUGCUGCAGCACUGAGAGCAGACCAGAGAUACCACACAGUAAACAGAACUGGGAAAUGCUGGGAUUCUGGCUCAAUCAUGGUAGGCAUACUUCACCAAAUAACUCGGUUAUUUAGUUGACACGUCAGAAAGGCUAAGUCCUCAGAACUGCACUUUAUAGGAAAUAAUAUGCUCUAAGACCAAGGGAAAAUAAAAGAAAUACAUCAGCUCUAACAAAUAAUAAACCUAAAAUGAUCAAGAAGAUCUGCCAUUAAUUAAGCUGCCUGACAGAAGAAAAUUCGAUAUUACUAAAUAGUUCUGGUCUUCAUGUUCUCAGAUUUCACCGGCUGCAGGCGCAGUAAAAUCACUAAGCAGCUGAUGACACAGGAUCUUGAGAGGUAAUACAUCAUAGUUGGACCUAAGUGUUGUUCAUUGUGAAGGCAGUUGGACCCUGAAUGGCAGUGAUUAGAUGAGACUGGGUGAGAAGGAGCUCUCCUGUUGAGUCCAAGCACUCUCUGAAGAAGUUAAUAGUCAAGUAAUGGUAUCAGAAACCGGUUGUAAAACACUUUUUAGGUGAGUUUUCUUGAUCAUUUGUGCUUUUGUUUUUAAGCUUCUGUUUACUAAAUGCUCUCUUGUGGAUAUUAAUAUACAAUUAAAAUAUUCUCGCACUUCGUGCCU